rnacentral:tRNA from 1 species
CGGGGUGUAGCUCAGUUUGGUUAGAGUGCUUGCUUGGGGUGCAAGAGGUCGCCUGUUCGAAUCAGGUCACUCCGACCA